AGUGAACGCUGGCGGUAGGCCUAACACAUGCAAGUCGAACGGCAGCACAGUAAGAGCUUGCUCUUACGGGUGGCGAGUGGCGGACGGGUGAGGAAUACAUCGGAAUCUACUUUUUCGUGGGGGAUAACGUAGGGAAACUUACGCUAAUACCGCAUACGACCUACGGGUGAAAGCAGGGGAUCUUCGGACCAUGCGCGAUUGAAUGAGCCGAUGUCGGAUUAGCUAGUUGGCGGGGUAAAGGCCCACCAAGGCGACGAUCCGUAGCUGGUCUGAGAGGAUGAUCAGCCACACUGGAACUGAGACACGGUCCAGACUCCUACGGGAGGCAGCAGUGGGGAAUAUUGGACAAUGGGCGCAAGCCUGAUCCAGCCAUACCGCGUGGGUGAAGAAGGCCUUCGGGUUGUAAAGCCCUUUUUUUGGGAAAGAAAAGCAGCAGGUUAAUACCCCGCUGUUCUGACGGUACCCAAAGAAUAAGCACCGGCUAACUUCGU
rnacentral:rRNA from 1 species